rnacentral:rRNA from 1 species
GACGAACGCUGGCGGCGUGCCUAAUACAUGCAAGUCGAGCGAAUCAAUAGGAGCUUGCUCCUGUUGAUUAGCGGCGGACGGGUGAGUAACACGUGGGCAAACUGCCUGUAAGAUCGGGAUAACUUCGGGAAACCGGAGCUAAUACCGGAUAAUCCUUUUCCACAUAUGUGGGAGAGCUGAAAGACGGAUGCGGCUGUCACUUACAGAUGGGCCCGCGGAGCACUAGCUGGUUGGUGAGGUAACGGCUCACCAAGGCGACGAUGCGUAGCCGACCUGAAGGGGUGAUCGGCCACACUGGGACUGAGACACGGCCCAGACUCCUGCGUGAGGCAGCAGUAGGGAAUCUUCCGCAAUGGACGAAAGUCUGACGGAGCAACGCCGCUUGAGCGAUGAAGGCCUUCGGGUCGUAAAGCUCUGUUGUUAGGGAAGAACAAGUAUCGGAGUAACUGCCGGUACCUUGACGGUACCUAACCAGAAAGCCACGGAUAACUACGUGCCAGCCGCCGCAGUAA